rnacentral:rRNA from 1 species
GAUGAACGCUAGCGGCAGGCCUAACACAUGCCAGUCGAGGGAGAAGCCCUUUCGGGGGCCGAAACCGGCGCACGGAUGCGUAACGCGUAUGCAACCUACCUUUCACAGGGGGAUAGCCCGAAGAAAUUUGGAUUAAUACCCCAUAAUAUUAUUGGAUGGCAUCAUUUGAUAAUUAAAACUGCGGUGGUGAAAGAUGGGCAUGCGUCCUAUUAGCUAGUUGGAGUGGUAACGGCACCCCAAGGCUACGAUAGGUAGGGGUCCUGAGAGGGAGAUCCCUCACACUGGUACUGAGACAGGGACCAGACUCCUACGGGAGGCAGCAGUGAGGAAUAUUGGUCAAUGGUCGGAAGACUGAACCAGCCAUGCCGCGUGCAGGAAGAAUGCCUUAUGGGUUGUAAACUGCUUUUAUAUGGGAAGAAUAAGGCGUACGUGUACGUUGAUGACGGUACCAUAUGAAUAAGCAUCGGCUAACUCCGUG